rnacentral:tRNA from 1 species
AAAAAGGUAAGCUAAAUCAAGCUCCUGGGUUCAUACCCCAUUAAUGAAGGCCCCACCCUUCCCUUUUUA